rnacentral:rRNA from 1 species
CCUACGGGGGGCAGCAGUGAGGAAUAUUGGUCAAUGGACGAGAGUCUGAACCAGCCAAGUAGCGUGAAGGAUGACUGCCCUAUGGGUUGUAAACUUCUUUUAUAUGGGAAUAAAAUGUUCCACGUGUGGGAUUUUGUAUGUACCUUAUGCAUAAGGAUCGGCUAACCCCGUUCCAGCAGCCGCGGUAAUACGGAGGAUCCGAGCGUUGUCCGGAUUUAUUGGGUUUAAAGGGGGCGUAGGUGGAUUGUUAAGUCAGUUGUGAAAGUUUGCGGCUCAACCGUAAAAUUGCAGUUGAAACUGGCAGUCUUGAGUACAGUAGAGGUGGGCGGAAUUCGUGGUGUAGCGGUGAAAUGCUUAGAUAUCACGAAGAACUCCGAUUGCGAAGGCAGUUCACUGGACUGCAACUGACACUGAGGCUCGAAAGUGUGGGUAUCAAACAGGAUUAGAUACCCCAGUAGUC